AGCAGCCGCGGUAAUUCCAGCUCCAAUAGCGUAUAUUAAAGUUGUUGCAGUUAAAAGGCUCGUAGUUGAAUUUCGGGAUCAAUAUAUCGGUCGUGCCAUUGGUACGUACUGGUAUCAUUGGUUUCUCCUUCCUGACGAACCAUGAUGUCAUUAAUUUGGUGUCAUGGGAAAUCAGGACUGUUACUUUGAAAAAUUAGAGUGUUUAAAGCAGGCUCACGCUUGAAUACAUUAGCAUGGAAUAAUGAAAUAGGACGUUCGAUCCUAUUUUGUUGGUUUCUAGGAUCAACGUAAUGAUUAAUAGGGAUAGUUGGGGGCAUUAGUAUUCAAUUGUCAGAGGUGAAAUUCUUGGAUUUAUUGAAGACUAACUACUGCG
rnacentral:rRNA from 1 species